CAGCCCUAAACGAUGCGCGUUAGGUGUAUCGGUGACCACGAGUCACCGAGGUGCCGAAGGGAAACCGUGAAACGUGCCGCCUGGGAAGUACGGUCGCAAGGCUGAAACUUAAAGGAAUUAGCGGGGGGAGCACCACAACGGGUGGAGCCUGCGGUUUAAUUGGACUCAAACGCCGGGAAGCUCACCGGAUAAGACAGCGGAAUGAUUGCCGGGCUGAAGACCCUGCAUGACCAGCUGAGAGGAGGUGCAUGGCGUAGUCGUGU
rnacentral:rRNA from 1 species